rnacentral:lncRNA from 1 species
GAAUAAACACAUAAUCACAUGAUAAAACAGUCACUUAUCAUCUUCUAGGUCAAAUUCAAUUCCAAGUCCCACACUUCAAUUUUUCAGGAGAGGUCUGAGUUUAAGUCUAGCUUGUUAACUAAAAAUAACCAAAUAAGACCAUAAAAUACAUGUACAUACUAUAAAUGAUGAUAAUGACUUGCAUAGAUCUUUACAUAAGUACAGAUCUAUGUAAGCCAGUGAUAGCCUGUAAUUCCAGGUAUAAUUUAGAGCAGUGUUUUCUAAACUCUGGGAUGCUAAUCUAUUGCAAGUGUGAGGUAUCCAGAGUCGGGCCUGCUGGAGAAUAUCACUCCACGCCCGAAGUUAACAGGGUUGACAAUUUCGUGACAAACAUCGGGUGAGUGUGUCUUUCUUCCAGCCGGUCCGAAGUGCUCC